rnacentral:lncRNA from 1 species
GGAGGGGCAGGCAGGGGGGAGCAGCACCAGAGGCGCAGGGGGUGAUUGUCAUGGUUACGCUCUGACAAAACAAAUGGCUCUCUGCUUCUUGCAGGCCACCUAAACAGCUGUAGCCGGGAUGUGGGCAUCCAUCAGGCCAGCUGCCAGGGCGGCAGGCGCUGGGCUUGGGCACCGUAGCCCAGCCCUGGGUACCCCCUCCAGCAGCUCGGGGUGCCGGGAGGCAGCCUCUGGGGCUGCGGAGCAGGAGGGUAUUUGCCCAGUCACAUGUUGCUUCUGGGGCAGGUGCCCGGCGUGUGACUGUCCUCAAAGCCACUGACCAAGUGCGGCGUGUGCCCCCCCUGCUCCUGCCAGCUCUUCUCCCUCUUCCUAUAACCAUACUGGGAGUCGCACAACUGGGCCCAGGACUAGAAGUGGUUCCUUCUACGGGUGCCACUCUGGAGACAGAGAAGGAUGCAAGGUGAGGACAGGCAGCUGGAGUGGAUGAUCCCAACACACUGAGAAAGGAGUCGCUGGUGAGAGCGGCUGGAGGGCAGGAGGUGGGUCCACCUGGUUGGCCUUGUAUGCCCUGUUCCUUGUUCAGAUCCCAUACAGGGGUCUGAGUCAUCAUUAUCUGAGACCUUACAGAUGUGAGGCUGUAGGUUUAAAAAAGAGCACCCUAAUAGAAGACCAUUAAUGAAAUGACCACUUAAAAAGUAGUCUGUGCCUGAACAUCUCUCCUUCCUCAAUGCCAGCAUCCAUCCCUGCUCAUCACUCAAU